rnacentral:rRNA from 1 species
AUUGAACGCUGGCGGCAGGCCUAACACAUGCAAGUCGAGCGGAUGAAGGGAGUUUGCUCCUGGAUUCAGCGGCGGACGGGUGAGUAAUGCCUAGGAAUCUGCCUGGUAGUGGGGGAUAACGUCCGGAAACGGGCGCUAAUACCGCAUACGUCCUGAGGGAGAAAGUGGGGGAUCUUCGGACCUCACGCUAUCAGAUGAGCCUAGGUCGGAUUAGCUAGUUGGUGGGGUAAAGGCCUACCAAGGCGACGAUCCGUAACUAGUCUGAGAGGAUGAUCAGUCACACUGGAACUGAGACACGGUCCAGACUCCUACGGGAGGCAGCAGUGGGGAAUAUUGGACAAUGGGCGAAAGCCUGAUCCAGCCAUGCCGCGUGUGUGAAGAAGGUCUUCGGAUUGUAAAGCACUUUAAGUUGGGAGGAAGGGCAGUAAGUUAAUACCUUGCUGUUUUGACGUUACCAACAGAAUAAGCACCGGCUAACUUCGUG